rnacentral:lncRNA from 1 species
CCUUGAGCAUCUCAAAGAGCGGUUGCCGUGACCUUCGCUGUCAUCCAGAUUGCUCUUGCUUUGAUGGAGCCACUUCUUGGUAGCCGGCGCUUUGAUUGUGGUUUGUCUUCAGGAUCUGCUGGGAAAGUCGUGUUUCAUUUCCUGUUUCAAUUCUUCAAAGAAAUCCUUCAGGGCCUCCUUAAAAUUAAUUGUCCACUUGAAAACUACUGAUUUCUUUGGUGCAUUGCCCCCAUCAACUUUUUGUAAAGCACCAAUGAUUUCACCAUUCUCCCACCCAAGGUUCAUUAUAAACUUGAUGUUUGUUCUUGCUUCAAUUUUAGCGGAAUUUGUGUUGCUCUGAUAAGGGCUCCUUUCAAACUAAUAUCUUAUCCUUCUUACUGUCUCAAACUAGAUCCUGUUUACACAUGUUAUGGAACAAGUUAGUAUAAGUUUAUUUUGGGGCAAAAUGUUUUUUGAAGUACGUGCAUAGUUUUUUUUCUUGAACAUGAAAACCCUUUGUACAUUUCACCUUUCCGGAAAGAAGAAGUAGGGAAGAAGACCCCACUGUUUUCCUUUAAGGAUGUUUCUUAAAAGUUACACUCAGCACUUUCACAGGGAGGCUGGAAAAUAUCUAGGUGACCCUGUGUGCAAAUGAAGAACUGGGGAUUCUAGUUAUGGAAGGGUGGGGUGGAUACUGGGGAAAACGAACAGCCUCUGGCAUAGGCGCCAUCCUGGCUGAUGCUGAGUUUCUUCUUUUCUACCUGAGCUUAGCUAAAAUCUCGCCACCACGCCCAGAAGAGAAUGCAUUUGCUUUGGAGUUUUCUGUAAUCCUUCUGAAUUGGUUCUAAAUUGGUGGCCGGCGCCUGUAGUCCCAGCUACCUGGGAGGCUGAGGCAGGAGAAUGGCAUGAACCUGGGAGGCGAAGCUUUCAGUGAGCCGAGAUAGCGCCACUGCACUCCAGCCUGGGCAACAGAGCAAGACUCUGUCUCAAAAAAAAAAAAAAAAAAAAAAAAAAAAAAAAAAAAAACAACUUCUCAACAUAAGGUCUAACAAGAUCAAGACACUUUUGUAAAUGACAAUACCACCCAUCUUGGGAUAUGAUCAAAUAUACACUAAGAAUAUGGAAAUGAAUCGUCCUGACGUGGAGGUAGAAUACUCAGGUGACCAGUUGCUUCCAACUAGGACUCAGUCACCCCUGGCUUCAGAAGGGCAGGAGACACGCUGUGAGAAGCUGUGAGAGUGUUGGAGAUUUAGGAUGAUU